rnacentral:tRNA from 1 species
AGGGGCGUAGCCAAGUUGGUAAGGCAACGGGUUUUGGUCCCGUCAUUCGAGGGUUCGAAUCCUUCCGCCCCUGCCA